CUAGGCUCUCACCUGCUGCACUGUGGAGGUGAGGACCCUAGAUGACCGUCUGCUCAACAUCCCCAUCAAUGACAUCGUCCACCCCAAAUACUUCAAGAAGGUGCCAGGGGAGGGGAUGCCAUUGCCGGAGGACCCCACUAAGAAAGGGGAUCUCUUCAUCUUCUUCGACAUCCAGUUCCCCACCCGCCUCACACCCCAGAAGAAGCAGAUGCUGCGCCAGGCAUUGCUGACAUGACUGUGGUGGGCUGGAGCAGGGGUGAGAGGAGGCUAGCCGGGCCUCACCCCACCCCUACCCGCCACAGCCUCAGGGUGUGCAGGGGAGCCUGCUGCACAGAUAUGAUACCAGGGUGGGAUGGCACAGGGCUUAAACUGACAUAAUAAAGAU
rnacentral:lncRNA from 1 species